UGGUAACUGGGCACUCCCGAGGGCCCUGUAUGAAGAAGAAAAAGCAUUUGUGAAGGAGCUGAAGAGAUGCCCCAAACACUUCUCCUUGCAACAGUGCCUACCUUUGUGACUGGAUUCUGCACGCAGCCCUGAGCCCCUCCAGAACACAAACUGGGCUUUGGAAUGAGUCAGGACAUGUGUGCUGUGUGACUGCUCGGUGCCGGGCUCUGUUCUCAACGCCGAGUGCCCAGCCCUGAGCAGGAUGAGUAACGGGCUCUGCUCUCACGCGGGUUCGUCCCAGUGGAGGAGACAGCAGCGAAAUGAACACGCGGAGUGGUAGCGAUUCCUAAGAGCAACAGGCGACUGACGACGGUCAGGAGGCGGCAUGGUGCAGUCUCGUUUUCAGCAGACUAGAAAGCAGACGGCGCUGCGCAGAGACUCAGGGCUGUGGGGAAGGAAGCCGUAUCUCUGCCCAUUCCUCCACCUUGAGCCAUGUUGACUUUAUCUCCCUUGAAUACACCGAGCACCUGCUGGCCUACCUUCAUGAAGUUCCCUACUACUGUGCUGUUACCCAAUCUCCUCUACAGACAUCACCUCACCGAAUGUGCACGUUUUGGCUUCAUUGAUUGAGAAAACUGAGGCUUUUGACACAUUGUUGCCAGCUGGAAGGCUCCUGGGCCCAACUAAAAUCUCGGGUGGACUGCUGGCUCCAGGUCAUGUGACUCUCUGGGCAUUUCCUCCCGGGAGAGUGGUCAGAUUAUCCUGAAAAGUCAAUGUAAGACUUCUGGAGAGAAAAAUGGAAGCAUGAACAACAGUUCGGGCAACUGUAUUGAAAUGGUUUAGAGGGACCUCACGGCAUGGUCAGGACACUGAGACUAGCUGGCCUGUAGGGUUUGGAGUGAUAACUUAGGCAAGAGAGAGACCCUGAGUGUCAUAUCAAAGAGCUAGACUUUCUCUCAUUUACAGCAAAGAAUUAUUGAAAGGUUUUAGGCAAACAAACCAAAAUACUGCGUAGACCGAACAAGUAGAGUGUCUAGAAAUGAUUAGAACUGCGGCUCCUCGGUGAGCAGGCUUUCUCCCUAGUAGAAGAUCCCACCUGUGCUGAGGGCCAUAUAAGACGUACAGGCCCAGUUCUGCCGCUGGGGAAUCUUGGUUUUAUGUAAAAUCCACCUAUUUUUUAUGUAAUUGCAACAGAUUUUUAAUGGCAUGAGCCACAAAGGGCUCCACGCUGGGGCCUCGGUCCUGGAGUGUGAAUGAGCUUCAAGAGAACAGGGCUUUGUCCAUGUUUGCCACCACGUUCUCGGGGCCUGGCACACAGUAGAUGUGCAAUAUACAUGUGUUACAUGCGUGUGUUAAUAGCAUUUCCAUUUUACUUCUGAGGAAACAAAGUCAUAGCAGACAACCCACAAGGUUACAAGGAAAGUGGCCCUGGUCGGGCUCGAGUCCAAACUUUUGAACUUCAAAAUAUUUGUAGGUAAGUUGACGUAUGCCAGGCAC
ensembl:lncRNA